rnacentral:rRNA from 1 species
UGAGUACGAGCUGCUACGGCAGCGAAGUGGGUGACGUCAAGCUUCCAAGAAAAGCCCUAUACCCAUUAAGGCAUGAUGGCCUGUACCCGAAACCGACACAGGUGGGGUGGUAGAGAAUACCGAGGGGCGCGAGAUAACUCUCUCUAAGGAACUCGGCAAAAUGGCCCCGUAACUUCGGGAGAAGGGGUGCCACCGCAAGGUGGUCGCAGUGAAGAGGCCCAGGCGACUGUUUACCAAAAACACAGGUCUCCGCUAAGUCGCAAGACGAUGUAUGGGGGCUGACGCCUGCCCAGUGCCGGAAGGUUAAGGAAGCUGGUCAGCGUAAGCGAAGCUAGCGACUGAAGCCCCGGUGAACGGCGGCCGUAACAAUAACGGUCCUAAGGUAGCGAAAUUCCUUGUCGGGUAAGUUCCGACCCGCACGAAAGGCGUAACGAUCUGGGCGCUGUCUCGGAGAGAGGCUCGGCGAAAUAGAAUUGUCUGUGAAGAUGCGGACUACGUGCACCCGGACAGAAAGACCCUAUGAAGCUUUACUGUAGCUUGGUAUUGUGCUCGGGCUCGGAAUGCGCAGGAUAGGUGGGAGGCUAUGAACCAUUGCUUGUGGGUGAUGGUGAGCCACUGGUGAGAUACCACUCUUUCCGAGCUAGAGUUCUAACAGCCACCCGUUAUCCGGGGGCUGGACAGUAUCAGGUGGGCAGUUUGACUGGGGCGGUCGCCUCCUAAAAGGUAACGGAGGCGCGCAAAGGUUUGCUCAGGCUGGUUGGAAAUCAGCCGACGAGUGUAAAAGCAGAAGCAAGCUUGACUGUGAGACCUACAAGUCGAACAGGGAGGAAACUCGGCUUUAGUGAUCCGACGGUUCUGCGUGGAAGGGCCGUCGCUCAACGGAUAAAAGUUACUCUAGGAUAACAGGCUGAUCUCCCCCAAGAGUUCACAUCGACGGGGAGGUUUGGCACCUCGAUGUCGGCUCAUCGCAACCUGGGGCUGAAGUCGGUCCCAAGGGUUGGGCUGUUCGCCCAUUAAAGCGGUACGCGAGCUGGGUUCAGAACGUCGUGAGACAGUUCGGUCCAUAUCCGGUGCAUGCGCAGGAAUAUUGAGAGGAUUUCUCCCUAGUACGAGAGGACCGGGAGGAACGCACCUCUGGUGUACCAGUUAUCGUGCCAACGGUAAACGCUGGGUAGCCAUGUGCGGAGAGGAUAACCGCUGAAAGCAUCUAAGUGGGAAGCCCACCUCAAGAUGAGUAUUCCCAUGGGUUAACCCAGUAAGGUCACGGGAAGAACACCCGUUGAUAGGCUCUACGUGGAAGCGCAGUAAUGUGUGAAGCGGAGGAGUACUAAUAGACC